GUUCAGGCAGCAAGGGGACCCCACUUUUGAAACACAUUUUUCAGGCAUUUUCGAUAAUUCCAUGUCGUUUACUAAACGAUCCGAUCCGAUCUAAUUUUAGACACUCAGAACAUUCUAAUUAUUAAGGUGAUUAUAGUUUACUUUUAUUUACCGACCGAGAAAGCUUUCCUGUAUAAUGCACCUUCCAAUCCGCUAUUGUGUGUAAAAAUCCAGAGAACUUCAAUAAAGAUCAUCUUUGCUCAUAGUGACCCUACACAGUCCGUAUGAAAGGGAAAAAAAUAAGAGAGAUCUUUUGCGUCACACCAAAUAAGAAAUUAAGUCGGAAUCCCAGAUUAAGCCUACAGGGUUGGUCAAAACGUUGGAUGCACAUUUUUAGCUUCACCUCUUACUACUGAAUGUCGACGUAAAACUUCAGCAGACAAAGAAGUCAGCAAUAAUGACAACUGCAAACAACGCUAACCGUUGGAGUGUUGAAGCUCCUUUGAUUCGUUUGCCUAUAGUGGCCCCAUCCACAGAUUCACUAGCACCAAAAUCUGAAGAAAAUCAGUUCAUGUGCAGCUUAGAAUCAAAACUGCAAGCAACACCUGAGGCAAGAGCGGAAGAAGGCAAGCCAGAUUCAAAGAUACCAGAUGGAGGAUGGGGCUGGGUGGUAGUAUUUGCCACAUUCCUCCUUUGUAUGAUAGCAGAUGGAGUAACGUUCUCCUUCGGUCUUUUAUACGUAGAAUUCCUCAAGGAGUUUGAAGCCUCAAACAGCGCCACUUCAUGGAUUGGCAGUCUUUUCAUGGCAGUACCUCUUUUAUCAGGCCCAAUAAUGAGCGCCUUGGUAGACAAAUUCGGUUGCAGAUCAAUGACUAUAGUAGGAGGCAUAAUUUCCGCGUCAGGUUUCAUUUUAAGCUCCAAAUGCUACUCUUUGAAUCUCAUGUAUUUGACCUUUGGCAUGUUAGCCGGUUUAGGGCUUGGCCUUAUCUACGUAACUGUAGUUGUUUCUGUGGCUUUCUGGUUCGAGAAAAGAAGAACCUUGGCUGUGGGUAUCGGAUCUUCCGGAAUUGGUAUCGGCACCUUCAUAUUUUCCCCUCUAACGACUUACUUGAUUAUGGAAUUUGGAUGGAGAGGAACCACGCUUAUUUUGGGAGGAUGUUUCUUGAACAUGUGUGUAUGUGGAACUUUGAUGAGGGAUCCUGAUUGGAUUAUUGAGCAGGAUAGGCUCGAGGCAAAAUCCAAACUAUCCAAGUCUACAAAGUCAAGCAAAGAUAGUCUGGAAAAUUCAAUCAACUUGGAAGAGCUAAAGGCUUUUCUCACUAGUGAAAAAGACGUGAAGUUGCUCUUGAACGAUUUAGAAGAGUCGCUUGACGGCCGAGAUAAAGAUACUUUGAAAAAUUACUUUUCAGCUGUAAAUCUUCCAACUUUUAUUAAAAAGCAUGAAACGGUUCCAGUUGAGGUACUACAGCUGCUCACCACAAAUAAGAAUGCUCUAGACGUCAUUUUGCAUCACUACUCCAGUUUGGUUGUGCCUAAAAAGAAAUCAGAGGACACACCUAGCCAUAACCAAGGCGACCUUGUCAGAGCCCCGUCUAUACAGAAAGCCCACUGGACUAAGCAUAAACCUGAAGAAGCCCACGAGACACCAAUAGGGCAUACCAAAUCCUACCACGAAAGCUAUUUUAAGAAUCUAAAAUUGGACACUCAUUCUUUGGCUCACAGAGGGGCUUUGUUCAAUACUAGUAAAUACAGAUUCAAAGCUUCAAGCUGUCCCAAUAUCUAUAGGGUAUCUAUGGUGUCCUUGCCAAGAAAAGAUAGCAAAGAAGUCUGGUACUCUGAGCUAGUCGAUCUUGUUAAAGGCAUGUUCGAUUUUUCCUUAUUUCUAGAGCUGCAUUUCUGUUUACUUUCAUUAUCCACCAUCAUCCUCUUCACUUGGUUCAUAGUGCCUUAUUUUUAUUUGGUAACAUUGAUGACCAAUUUUGAAUACACCACCGAGCAAGCGUCGUUUACUAUUUCAAAUAUUGGCAUAUCCAACACUUUGGGCAUGAUUGUGUUGGGCUGGGCUGGGGACAGACCAUGGAUGAACAUCACGAAAACAUGCGCCAUCUGCCUAGUGUUUCAUCCUCUCUUUUCGGCCUUUCCUUGGCCAGUCAUUUUACUUUCACUCCCGGCAUUGUUAUGGAGCUGGUGCCUCUAGACCGAUUUACCAUCGCCUAUGGAUUACAGUUACUUUGUCAAGGGAUUGGAACGCUCGUUGGUCCCCCUUAUGCCGGAUUGUUGUAUGAUAUAACACAAAGUUGGGAGCAAACCUUCUACCAAGCAGCAAUAUGGAUAAUCCUGUCUGGCAUUUUUGUUGCUAUUAUUCCAUACAUUAGGAACAGAAAAAUGUUUGGCCGAGGAUCAGUGGAGAAAGAAGUAGAUGAUCCUCAGAGCCAUUAUGUGCCUUUGGUGUUACUAUUUCUUGCGAUGAUGUUGGCUUUUAUAGGCAUGUUCUAUCUAACAGCAAUGGGCUUUCAGAGCUAUCUACGCGGGGAUAAAUAAAUUCAAAAUUUAGAUGAUUAGUUCAGAUUUACUGAGUUUUGUUUAAGGCACCGAUGUAUACGCACAGUUUUAAAUAAAACGUAACUGCUUAAUACACAA
rnacentral:misc_RNA from 1 species